rnacentral:rRNA from 1 species
AACGAACGCUGGCGCCAUGCCUAACACAUGCAAGUCGAACGAGACCUUCGGGUCUAGUGGCGCACGGGUGCGUAACGCGUGGGAACCUGCCCUUAGGUUCGGAAUAACUCCCCGAAAGGGGUUCUAAUACCGGAUAAUGUCUUCGGACCAAAGAUUUAUCGCCUUUGGAUGGGCCCGCGUUGGAUUAGCUAGUUGGUAGGGUAAAAGCCUACCAAGGCGACGAUCCAUAGCUGGUCUGAGAGGAUGAUCAGCCACACUGGGACUGAGACACGGCCCAGACUCCUACGGGAGGCAGCAGUGGGGAAUAUUGGACAAUGGGCGAAAGCCUGAUCCAGCAAUGCCGCGUGAGUGAUGAAGGCCUUAGGGUUGUAAAGCUCUUUUACCCGGGAUGAUAAUGACAGUACCGGGAGAAUAAGCUCCGGCUAACUCCGUG